GGGGAAUCUUGCGCAAUGGGGGCAACCCUGACGCAGCCAUGCCGCGUGAAUGAUGAAGGCCUUAGGGUUGUAAAGUUCUUUUGCCCGUGACGAUGAUGACGGUAACGGGAGAAUAAGCUCCGGCUAACUUCGUGCCAGCAGCCGCGGUAAUACGAAGGGGGCUAGCGUUGUUCGGAAUUACUGGGCGUAAAGCGCGCGCAGGCGGUUUUGUAAGUUAGGGGUGAAAUCCCCGGGCUCAACCCGGGAAUGGCCUUUAAGACUGCAAGGCUAGAGGACGAGAGAGGUGAGUGGAAUUCCCAGUGUAGAGGUGAAAUUCGUAGAUAUUGGGAAGAACACCGGUGGCGAAGGCGGCUCACUGGCUCGUUUCUGGCGCUGAGGCGCGAAAGCGUGGGGAGCAAAC
rnacentral:rRNA from 1 species